UACGGGGGGGGCAAGCGUUGUUCGGAAUUACUGGGCGUAAAGGGCGCGUAGGCGGCCUUCUAAGUCAGACGUGAAAUCCUCCGGCUUAACCUGGGAACUGCGUCUGAUACUGGGAGGCUUGAGUAUGGGAGAGGGAUGUAGAAUUCCAGGUGUAGCGGUGAAAUGCGUAGAUAUCUGGAGGAAUACCGGUGGCGAAGGCGGCAUCCUGGACCAUAACUGACGCUGAGGCGCGAAAGCUAGGGGAGCAAACGGG
rnacentral:rRNA from 1 species